rnacentral:RNase_P_RNA from 1 species
CAAGUAGGCCGGGUGGCCGCCGUCUCAGGGGAAGCGCUCCCCCGGGAGGGAGGAAAGUCCGGGCUCCAUCGGGCAGGGUGCUGGGUAACGCCCAGGAGGGGUGACCCUACGGAAAGUGCCACAGAAACCACACCGGCCGCCUUCUGGCGACCAAGGGUGAAAUGGUGAGGUAAGAGCUCACCAGCGGCUGGGUGACCAGCCGGCUGGGCAAACCCCACCCGGAGCAAGACCAAAUAGGAGGACGUUGAGGACGCCCGACCGAAGUCCUCGGGUUGGUCGCUUGACCCUGGCGGCAACGCCAGGGCUAGACAGAUGGCCACCGGUCCGGCUGGCGCUGGACUACAGAACCCGGCUUACAGGCCUGCUUGGCCC